AUUAUUAUGAAUAUUUUAUCCAGCAAGAAUGCAUUAAAUUGAACAAAAGUAAGGACUUUUACAUUGUUACAAAAAAUAUUUUUCAAAUAAAUGCUGUUGCUAUGAACUCCUAUGCUGUUCCAUUCUUCAAACAUAUUAAGCAGAAGCAUUUCAUGUCACUGCUGAAGUAUUAAGCAUUCUUAAAGAUAUUAAGUUCAAAACUGAUAAUAAGAAGAAAUAUUUCUUAAGCACCAAAUCGGACUGGAGUGAUGAUGCUGAAAAUUCAGCUUUGCCAUCACAGGAAUAAACUGCAUUCUAAAAUACAUUAAAGUUAAAAACAGUUGUUUUAAAAUGAAUUCUUUUUUUUACAAUAUUACUGUUUUAAAUUCAUUUUGACCAAAUUAAAUUAUAGAUAUCAUAUCACAGAUUUUCUGUGUGGUUCAAUUUUAUAACUUUUCAACCCCACUGUACCUGUAUAUAAACCUAAUUUGUGUGUGUGUGUUUAUUUUUUAAUUGUGUGUGUGGCAUUAGGUAGAAGAGAAGCGAAGGAAGCAGGUGGAGGAGAGAGAGCAGAUGAGGGCAGAGGAGGAGAGGGAGGACAGGCGACUGGAGGAACAGAGAGAGAAAUUUAGGAGAGAGUAUGAAGAGGAGCAGAAGAGCAGAAACCACAGAGAGAUGGAGGUCAGACAGACGCACAUCCACUCCUGCCUGUUUUAUUUUAGAGAUGCACAAUGUAAUAAUGUGAUAAUUGUUCACUUUAAAUAACAUUUUCCAUCCAGAUAAAGGGAAUUUAAGUGCUUAAGAAAAUGCCAUCAAAUGCAUGUCGCCAUGUUUCCAGUGCAUUAUGUGAGCACUCCUGAUGACCUCAGACCUUAGGGACCAGCACUGCUAACUUUAAGUAAACGUAUCUUUUUGCAGCAAAAACUGAAGAAUGAAGAACUCACUCGUCUUGUGGAGGAGAAACGGAGGGAUGCAGAAAAAAAUCAAAAAGAAGCAGAAGAGAAAGAGAGAGCAGCUGUAAGAGAACAGGAAGAGCAAGAGAGACAAAUAAGACUGCAACAGGUUCAACGUGCACCAUCCCCUCCUAUCCCUACCCUACAGAAGAAACACUGCAACCCUUCAAAUGCUACGGAUUUCUCUGUGUUUCGGGCUCUUCCAUCUCCAGAAAACAGAAACAGCCAGAGAACAGAGAAGUACAGAAGUGAGGUUGUAAAUGAGCUGUGUGCUUUAAGAAGACGUCUGCGCAGUGAACAGCAGCAUCUGGAGGAGCAGCUCUUGCAGACGAAGUGGGAGCAUCUCCCCUCCCCCUUCACUGACAGGCACAGGAUGGAUGUGUUUGACAUGGCUCGUUUGGGCAUGCCUGUGCGAGGCCCCUCCUCCCGCGGCACUGAGCCAAUCAGCUCAGAGGGGGCCAAUGACGUCAUGUACAGGGAUGCCUUUAUGCCUAGAACAUGGCAGUCUAGGAACAGAGAUGUUGAGGGUGGACGAGGAUCUGUGCUUCUGUCAGAAAGUGAAUUUAUUGAUCUGAAUGGAGUUGCUUUCCCAGUUCCUCCAGACAGUGAGAGGAAAUCUGUUAAGCUGUCUGCACGAGAGCUACGCAGACUAGCAAACCUUAAGUCUGCAGAGAGGAAGCCAGUGCAGUCCUUCAAUAUGAGGAAGCUCAGAGACACAAACACUCAUCAGGACGAAGAGACUACAAGCCUUUGGCCAUCACAGCAUCACAGCAGGAGGCUGCUCUGACGACGAUGAUGAAGCAAGUUGUGGUGAUGAGCAUUUUACCCUGCAGUCUCCUGGCAGGCCCAGCUCCAUUGAUACCACCACUGCCGAGUCCUGGACUCAAGCAGAAACAUCAGACACGCUCAGAAGGCUGAUGUCUGGCUCUGAACUUUAAGAUGGGCCAUAAUAUACAUGACUGCACAUGCUCAGAGUGUGUGAGCACUUUACUGCAAUGCAGUAUAUAUAGGAGAUUUUAUGUAGUCUUCAGAUCUCUUAAAUAAAAGACUGAUCAGUGGAAUCUAUUCAAAAUCAACUGCUUUAACUGCUUCACAAAAUCUCUUUUGUAAACUGAUUUGUGGAUCCAUUAUAUCUUAACAAAAUAUAGAGGGAAUGAUACAUUUCUAAUCUUUCUGGGCUUUUUUGUGGUAUUUUUUUUCCAAGACACAAAUACUUUUUAGCAUUUUGACAGCUUUUUAUAAUUUUUUUUUUUUUUUUUUAUACUUUUUAUACUUUUUUUUUUUACACCAGGAUUCACCAGAGUAAAUAACACAUAUUGAAAGCACCAUAAUCCUGAUUGCUUGGAGGCUUACGGCCUGUACAAACCAAGGAUGAUAACUACAACGAUAAAGUUCUAAAAAUCAUUCAGAAUUUCACAAUUUAAAUGGCAAAGUCCACAUAUCUACUGUAUGAAUGUGGCACUUUUCAGAAUGAUUUUUUUUCCAGUUGAUGAAUGAUAAAAAAUAUUGACAGCCAGUCAGAAUCCAUCUGACAUUAAAGAGCUUAAGCAUAUAAAGUGGCAAAUGACAUCAGCGCAUGUUUAUAAUUAAGGAGAAACUUAUUGUCCCUUGGUGUGAACACUAAUAUAGUUAUCCUUGGUAAGAAAGGCCCUUUAGAGUGAAUGACAUGCGUGAGAGAAGCAUGUUCAUUCUGCACUUGUUUAAACCAUUUCGAGACUGUCGACAAACCAUGGCUAACAAAGCCCGGCAAGAUCAAUUCUGAUGCGGCACCGAUACCAUCCAUAAUCCGUCUGACUGCAGAUGGUUUUGACUCCUCUUCUUUAUGCAUUUCUGAUUUUAAGCAGUCAAUCUGCUUAAAUUCCUGUGGCUCACUGGUAGAGCAUUGCGUUAGCAGUGCAAAAGUUUGUGUGUUCGAUUCCCAGGGAACACGUUAGGUAAAAAAAUGUUAGCCUGAAUGCACUGUAAGUUGCUUUGGAUAAAAGCAUCUGCUAAAUGCAUAAAUGUAGAAAGUCCUUCUGUAAAAGAGCAUCCUUCUCCUGCAAUACAAUACAACACAAACAGCCAGUGGUCAAAUUGUAAAAAAAAUCACGGGGGAUGGUGUGGUCAAUUUUCUUUUUUUUCUGUUGUACACUAGAGUAUUGCUGAGAAGAACUGCCAGACAGAAGAUCCGCAUGUCAUGUUUCUCAUUCAUAUAUAUAUAUUUGUCUUUACUACAAAAGCACACUAUGAGAGCAACAGGGUUUUAAUACAAUACCUCUCUCUUGCAAGCAAUGAAGGUAUAUUUUGUUGCAAUGGAGGCAUUUGCUAUGUAACACAGCACUGCUGAUGCCUUUCUCCUCACCUUCUUUACACAACUAAGUCCCUCUGUGUUCAGCAGCACAAGAGUAUGUCCUUCUUUACAGGGGUGAGGGACACACCAUGUUCAGAUGCCUUUGGUCUUUGAUUCAGUGGUGCUU
rnacentral:lncRNA from 12 species